rnacentral:rRNA from 1 species
UACAGAGGGUGCAAGCGUUGUUCGGAAUUACUGGGCGUAAAGGGCGCGUAGGCGGCCUUCUAAGUCAUGCGUGAAAUCCCCGGGCUCAACCCGGGAACUGCGUCUGAUACUGGAAGGCUUGAAUCCGGGAGAGGGAUGCGGAAUUCCAGGUGUAGCGGUGAAAUGCGUAGAUAUCUGGAGGAACACCGGUGGCGGAGGCGGCAUCCUGGACCGGCAUUGACGCUGAGGCGCGAAAGCCAGGGGAGCAAACGGG